rnacentral:rRNA from 2 species
AUUGCCCUAGUAACGGCGAAGUGAAGCGGCAACAGCUCAAAUUUGAAAUCUGGCUUCGGCCCGAGUUGUAAUUUGCAGAGGAAGCUUUAGGCGCGGCACCUUCUGAGUGCCCUGGAACGGGACGCCAUAGAGGGUGAGAGCCCCGUAUAGUUGGAUGCCUAGCCUGUGUAAAGCUCCUUCGACGAGUCGAGUAGUUUGGGAAUGCUGCUCAAAAUGGGAGGUAAAUUUCUUCUAAAGCUAAAUACCGGCCAGAGACCGAUAGCGCACAAGUAGAGUGAUCGAAAGAUGAAAAGCACUUUGAAAAGAGGGUUAAAUAGCACGUGAAAUUGUUGAAAGGGAAGCGCUUGUGACCAGACUUGCGCCGGGUUGAUCAUCCGGUGUUCUCACCGGUGCACUCUGCCCGGCUCAGGCCAGCAUCGGUUCUCGCGGGGGGAUAAAGGUCCGGGGAAUGUAGCUCCUCCGGGAGUGUUAUAGCCCCGGGCGUAAUACCCUCGCGGGGACCGAGGAUCGCGCUUCGGCAAGGAUGCUGGCGUAAUGGUCAUCAGCGACCCGUCUUG